rnacentral:tRNA from 1 species
AAGCAAUUAACUCAAUGGUAGAGUAGUUCAUUUACAUUGAAAAAGUUAGGGGUUCAAAUCCACUAUUGCUUA